rnacentral:rRNA from 1 species
UACGUAGGGUGCAAGCGUUGUCCGGAAUUAUUGGGCGUAAAGAGCUCGUAGGCGGUUUGUCGCGUCGAAUGUGAAAACCCGGGGCUCAACCCCGGGCCUGCAUUCGAUACGGGCAGACUAGAGUUCGGUAGGGGAGUCUGGAAUUCCUGGUGUAGCGGUGAAAUGCGCAGAUAUCAGGAGGAACACCGGUGGCGAAGGCGGCCUGCUGGGCAGUGGCUGACGCUGAGGCGCGACAGCGUGGGGAGCAAACAGG